rnacentral:tRNA from 1 species
GGUUUGUGGCUCAGUAAUAGAGUGCUUGCUUAGCAAGUAUGAGUCACUGGGUUCAAUUCUCAGCACAAAUCA